rnacentral:lncRNA from 1 species
UUUACGCAGUACCACUUUCCUCUGGGCAUACGUCGGAUGUUAACACACUUGUAAUGGAACCAUUGGUAUGGGCAGUCUUAGUUCUCACAUUUGAUCAUACGAUCAUAUUCGGGGUCAGAGCAUAGACACCAUGUUUCUGUCACGUUGUUCUUGUCAUCUUGUGUACUUGACGUUGUGGCAGGUUGGUUUUCAAGGGCUCUUGUAAUGAGUUCUUUCACAACAUAGUCUUGGAUAAACCUG